UUUAUGGAGAGUUUGAUCCUGGCUCAGGAUGAACGCUGGCGGCGUGCCUAAUACAUGCAAGUCGAGCGAACGGACGAGAAGCUUGCUUCUCUGAUGUUAGCGGCGGACGGGUGAGUAACACGUGGAUAACCUACCUAUAAGACUGGGAUAACUUCGGGAAACCGGAGCUAAUACCGGAUAAUAUUUUGAACCGCAUGGUUCAAAAGUGAAAGACGGUCUUGCUGUCACUUAUAGAUGGAUCCGCGCUGCAUUAGCUAGUUGGUAAGGUAACGGCUUACCAAGGCAACGAUGCAUAGCCGACCUGAGAGGGUGAUCGGCCACACUGGAACUGAGACACGGUCCAGACUCCUACGGGAGGCAGCAGUAGGGAAUCUUCCGCAAUGGGCGAAAGCCUGACGGAGCAACGCCGCGUGAGUGAUGAAGGUCUUCGGAUCGUAAAACUCUGUUAUUAGGGAAGAACAUAUGUGUAAGUAACUGUGCACAUCUUGACGGUACCUAAUCAGAAAGCCACGGCUAACUACGUGCCAGCAGCCGCGGUAAUACGUAGGUGGCAAGCGUUAUCCGGAAUUAUUGGGCGUAAAGCGCGCGUAGGCGGUUUUUUAAGUCUGAUGUGAAAGCCCACGGCUCAACCGUGGAGGGUCAUUGGAAACUGGAAAACUUGAGUGCAGAAGAGGAAAGUGGAAUUCCAUGUGUAGCGGUGAAAUGCGCAGAGAUAUGGAGGAACACCAGUGGCGAAGGCGACUUUCUGGUCUGUAACUGACGCUGAUGUGCGAAAGCGUGGGGAUCAAACAGGAUUAGAU
rnacentral:rRNA from 1 species